GGGUGUGUGGGGUGGCCCCUCAGCCCAGAUGGUGAGAGGGCGCAGGCCAGGCUGAAGGACCCCACCGGGGCCGG
rnacentral:pre_miRNA from 1 species